CUGUGAGCCGAAUCCAGCCCCAGAGCCUCCAGUUCUGCGCUAACAGUCUGGACCAUGUAAAUACCUGGCUCAGACUCAGUUCAAGUGCAAACUGUAGAAAUCAAUGGGAAGGCACAGUUAUGGAUUUCGAAAUCGGGAGCAAGUUAAAUCGGAAUAAACCAGUAUAUUUGGACUUCGGAGUCAAGGGAACAGGAUUGUUGUGAGCAUCCAACAAUAACAGAGGUACUACAGAAAUUGCCAGGAUACAAGAUACACCAGGCGUUCUCAGCUUUAUUUUCAUUCUCGGCUUUACUUCCAUUUACCUAUCGUAACAGCCCUGCGAGGGACGCAGAAACUGAGGCCCAGAAGAGCAGCUGGCCCCAGAUGGACACUUACCGGUACUGAAAGACGGCGUGCUGCUUUGAACAGGAGGGGUGAUCGAUGGGAAUGUCUGCGAUGCGGCGGUGCCGGCCCAGGAGAUAAGCGCUCUGCCGGUGGAUGUACAUCACUGGAAGCACUUCAUCAUUUUUAAAGGGGUAGAGACGCCACCGUUUUUUGGGGAUACGUGCU